UGACCGAUUAGUGAUAGAAUUUAAUCAGUAAUCCGUAAAAAAAAUGAAAAAAAAAAAUUUAAAUCCCCAUUCGUUGAAAUCCCAAAUUUCCAAAAAUCGAAGUCCUUAAAAUCAAACCCCAAUAUCUCUUACUCUUCUCUCUCCCCCUCUCCCCCUUUCCACCAUGAAUCUUCCGUUUCGGUCAACUGUCUCUUUCGCCGGCCUUUGGUCAUCCUCAAUUCUGUGCUCCACAGCCGUCCUCUCCCUGACCGUUCUCCACCAUGGGCGUUCUCCACGUUUUGAAUAUCUUUUUGUCUCCUAUAUUUUGGUGACUAUGCAUUCAUGUGAAUUAAGUGUUUCUGAUCUGGGAUUCAUCAGAUUCUGUUGUUUCUACAUCUUUUUAACUCUUUUUUUGGUUAGUCUUUGAUAGUUUGAGCUUUUUUUAUAUUCACUUCAGUCGGCAACUUUUUCGUAGCAUUUUGAUUUUCAGGAAUUAUAUAGCUGGAUUUGUUUUCCCUCUGUGAUAUUGAUUAUGGUAGUUUGGAGUGCUUUGAUAUAUGGUAUGAAUAUGAGAUGUGGUAAUUUAAGGCCACUGAGAGCCACAUGUGUAUGAAUACUAGGGCAUUGAAUUCUGAUACAUGGGGGAGAAUUAAUUUGAUUUGAUUGGAUUGGAUUUGGGAAAUCCAGGUUGAAAUUCGUAAAUUUUCUUUAAUGUUUUUGGUCUGCUAUGAAUUAUUGGGAAACUUUAAUUAUGUUUUCUGUUUGGAUUGAGGCUUUCGGCCAAAGAUGGUACUGCUAUUAGAGCAGUUUCUCUUCUAUUUUUUUUUCUUUAUUUAAGUUAUUUUUGUUAAAAGUCAAUGGCUUUGACUGUAAGUUGAGAUGGUGCCACCCAAAGUGUAAAAUGCCUUUCCUUUUUUCACAAAAUCAUAUCUAAGACAAUAUAAAGAGUACUUGUUUUCCUUUUUUUUUUUUUCAUAGGAACAUUUUUUAUUUUCUAAUUAUGUUUUUUUUCAUCUUUAGUUAUAACUACACUUCCGUUUUGUUUUAAAUUUGUUUUUACUUUCCUAUAUGGAUGACUUGGUUGCAGGCAAAAGGCUGCCGAUUAGUAAGUAAAUAACAUUUCACAUAAUGGAUUGGGUAACUAAGAUUCUUGAAGGUUAAAGUAAUGAAGGGCGAUAUCAUGGGAGAUAUGGAGAAGAUAGAACUUGGGAUGAGCUUUGUCGUUCAGUGAAGGUGAGUCUAAACUGGAAGAGGUAUCAGACGAGGAUGAACCAGAUGCUAAAGGUCAUGUGGAGGACGAGGAUGACAAAUACAUUGAAGCUCAUGUCGAAGAGGAAGAGGACAGAUAUGGUAAAGCUCAAAUAGGGGAAGAGGACGAUCAAUAUGCCAAAAUUCAAUGGGAUGAAGAUGAAGAACAUGCUAAAGUUCAAUUGGACUAAGAUGAACAACUUGCUAAUGCUAUUCAAGAAAGCUUGAAUGUGGAGUCUCCAGCUAGUUAUGGGAAUUUUUAUUAUUUUAUAUUGGAAGUAAUUAUUUAUUUGACUUA